ensembl:lncRNA
AGAGGACCAUGGUGCUAGCUUUCUGAAAAGGCUCUUGGUGCUAUACCAGGAGGCUUCCAAUAAACAAACACACACAAACUGAGUAAAACCAUGGGCAUAUAAGCAGAGCUGAGUGCCGAGUUGGAGAGCUACACUGUUGUGUUGUGAAAAGUUGCUAAGCAACCAUCUAAGAAUAAGGCUGGAGAGUGAAGUGGGGUGUUCAGCUUAGAGAUCUAGGGAGAGGUGAAACAGAAAGGGUGAGCAUUAGCGCAAGAAAGAGAGGAGAGGGGGGGAAAAAGAAUGUAACCGCAGAAUCAUCGGUGUGAUCUUCACAGCCAAACGGAGAGGAGCCCUUCAUCUCACUAGCCAAGAGUCAAACAGCGAAUUGGGUGGUCGUAAUCCUCCUGCAGCCAAACCCUGCGACCUGCAGUUCCUCCCCUAGUGAGGCCUGUCAGGGGGGGAGCAUGUCUGACAUGUGGUCUCUGGAGAGGAUGCUGAACCGGACCACUCUCUCCACACAGAGGCUGCUCCACACACACAUCCUGGGUGAGACUCCACAACGCAACCAGUCACACUUCCUGUGACUGUAUGCAACUAGCCAACAUACAAUGGAAUUAUAUCCUUCCAAACUAGGUGUGGGACAGCAGUUUCUUCCUCCCAAGUCUUCCUCCACAAGCCCCAGCCAAGCCCCAGGGCUGGCCUCUCUCGCCCCCCAGUUGGAGAAGCCUGAUGUGGGGGCCACACAGAGAGAGUAUCCCUGGAUGGAAGAAAUUCUGGAAAAGGCUGAGAAGGAUAAAGGGAGUGCCCUGAAACAACAGGGGGAGCGUCUGCAGGUGCACUUCAAAGAGGCCGUGCUGGCGAGGGAGAGGCUGGAGGCCGAGUGGAGGCAGGGCGAGCGGGUAGCGCAGCAGGCCGUGUUUGCGGAGCGCCUCGUGGGGCUGCGGGAGGAGAUGGAGAGAGAGAUGAGACUGGCGGUGAUUGAGAUGUGUGGGAGGAUGAGGGCCAAGAUGCAGGGAGAGGCGGAAGAGGAGAGACUGAGAGAGGCAGAGGCCGUGGAGGCUAAAAUACAGGAGGAGAGAGAGAGGAGUGUUAGGGAGACGGAGCUACGAGUCCAACGGCAGUGUGAACAAGAGGCUCAGGAGGACCGAGAGGCUCUCCAGGAAAGACAUGCAGUGGAACUUUGCCGAAUGCAGACCAGGCAGUGGCAGCUGGAGCAGACUUUGUCCCGGGUCACAGGGGAGAAGAUGCGAUACGAAACAGAGUUUAAGAGAUUACAGUGUAGCUACAGACAGUUUGUGGAUCUGACCGAGUCCUCCCUCCACUCUGACUACCUGUUGAAGCUCCGUCACCUUGGUCGAGAGCCUGGAUACACUGAUGUGGGCGUUCAAACGGAUGAUGUCAUCAACGAGGGACACCUUCCCGGAUCAACUCAGUGAUGCAUCUUCCUGCUGCUCGAGGCAGGGGUACUGAGACACGUGCCUUUUGGAUCAGCUAAUUGUUUGCAAUCUUGAUCUGAACUAUUAGCUGUUAAAGUGUAACUCUGAUCUUAGAUCAGCACACAGGAACAUUAUCUGUCACCUUGGGCGUUCCAGUGGAGCUCCCAAAUGCCUCUGCUCUGUCAUCAGGAAUGUGUCCAUAUAGGGAAUGAAAAUUAUGCCACA